GGGGUGUGGGAGGGUGUGUGUCUGCACAUUUCCUCUUCAGAUUUUUAAAAAUAAGUCUACCUAUUUCUAAAAUACAAUUUGGGCAUGAAUGCAAUCACAUAUUUUGUCAACAAUGUUACUGCUCAUUAUUUUACUUUCCAACACCUGGAAUAGUAAAUAAAGGCCCCAUAAAAGAGAUUGAUCUUAAACCGAACCUUACAAAACAGACCAGACUUUCAGAGGGACAACUUUGGGGACAGAGAUGUGAGAAGCUUCCAUGCCAUGUUGGACUUGAGUCUACAUGUAGGCCUCUAAGCAAGAAGAGAAAAGGAAGCUGAAGCCCAUGAGGAAGAGGACCAGGAAGGGAAGAUGAAUACAAAGCAGAGGAGAACAAGGAUAAGCUGGAACCCACAAGUAACAGAAUCUAAGUUAUUUAUUGCUGCAUAAAAAUACCCACAACCUAAUGGCUUAAAACUAAGAGGACAUUAACUGUGUAUUAUCUCUCACAUAUUUUGUGUGUCAGAAAUUCAGGAGCAGCUCAGCUGGUCUUAUAAAGUUUCAGUCAGGUGUGAACUCCAGUGUCUGUCAUCUACAGGCCUGACAGGGCUGGAGUAACCAUUUCCAAGACAGCUCACUCAUAUGACUCAAUUACUGGCCGGUGAUUAGAAAGAGAACCAAUUUUCUCACCACACAAUCUUCUUCAUAGGGCUACUUGAGCGUCCUUACAAUAUUUCACCUAGCUUUACCCAGGGUGAAGGAUCCAAGAGAUAGAGCAAGCAAUGAGAAAGUCACAAUGCCUUUUAUAACCUUAACACUGAACAACGUUUGCAUCCCUUGCCAACAUUUAUAGGUUGAAAUCCUAACUCCCAGUGUUAUGGUAUAAGGAGAUGGGGCCUUCGGGUGAAAAUUAGAUCUCAGGAGCAUCGCCUCCAAGUAUGAGACUACUGCUCUUAUUAAAGGAGACCCCAGACUUUUUAAUCAUCGCCAUUCUAACUGCCAUGAGAUGGUAUCUCAUUGUGGUUUUGAUUUGCAUUUCUCUAAUGACUAGUGAUGAUGAGCUUUUUUUUCAUGUUUGUUGGCGACAUACAUGUCUUCUUUUGAGAAGUGUCUGUUCAUAUCUUUCACCCACUUUUUGAUGGGGUUGUUUUUUUCUUGUAAAUUUAUUUAAAUUCCUUGUAGAUUCUGGAUAUUAGACCUUUGUCAGAUAGGUAGAUUGCAAAAUUUUUCUCCCAUUCUGUUGGCUGCCUAUUUACACUGAUGAUAGUUUCUUUUGUUGUGCAGACACUCUGUAGUUUAGUUAGAUCCCAGAUGCUGGUGAGGCUGUGGAGAAGCAGGAACACUUUUACACUGUUGGUGGGAGUGUGAAUUAGUUCGACCACUGUGGAAGACAAUGUGGCAAUUCCUCAAGGAUCUAGAACCAGAAAUACCAUUUGACCCAGCCAUCCCAUUACUGGGUAUAUAUCCAAAGAAUUAUAAAUCAUUCCACUAUAAAGACACAUGUACAUAUAUGUUUAUUGCAGCACUAUUCACAAACGCAAAGACUUGGAACCAAUCCAAAUGCCCAUCAAUGUUAGACUGGAUAAAGAAAAUGUGGCACACAUACCCAUGGAAUACUAUGUAGCCAUAAAAAAGAAUGAGUUCAUGUCCUUUGCAGGAACGUGGAUGAAGCUGGAAACCAUCAUUCUCAGCAAACUAACACAAGAAGAGAAAACCAAACACUGCGGGUUCUCACUCAUAAGUGGGAGUUGAACAAUGAGAACACAUGGACACAGGGAGGGGAACGUCACACUCUGGGGCCUGUCGGGGUAGUGGGGGUAGGCGAGGGAAAGCAUUAGGACAAAUGCCUAAUGCACGUGGGGCUUAAAACCUAGAUAAUGGGCUGACAGGUGCAGCAAAUCACCAUGGCAUAUGUAUACCUAGGUAACAAACCUGCACAUUCUGCACAAGUAUCCCAGAACUUAAAGUAAAAAAUUUAAAAUAAAUAAAUAAAUAAAAAAGGAGAUCCCAAAGAACUCUCUGGCUCUUUCUGCCAUGUGAGGAUACAAGGAACAGCGGGCAGUCUGCAAUGUGGAAGAGGGGCUGCACCAGAAGUGGAGCAUGCUGGCACCCUGAUCUUGAAUUUUCAGCCUCCAGACUGUGAGAAAUAAAUUUCUGUUGCUUCUAAGCUACCCAGGCUAUGGGAUUCUGUUAUAGCAACCUGAACUGAAUACAACACUGUGCACUAUCACUUCUUUCUUAUUUGUUAAAAGCAGGAACCUAAGUCCUGCCUGCACUUGAGUAGAAUUAGGCUCUUCCUUUUGAAGAAAAGAAUGUCAAAUAAUUUGUGGAAAUAUUUUAAACAUAACAUAAACAUACCACGAUUCCAUUCUUGUGUAUUUAUUCAAAAGAAAGCAAGCACACGUUCACAAAAAAAGGAUAUAUGUGAGAAUGAGCAUAGAAGUUUUGUUUUAAAACAGUAAAGAGCUUAGGCAUCCAUCAACAGAGAAUGGGUAAACACACUGGUAUAUUCAUACAAUAUCACGCAGAAGCAAAAAGAAACUACUGAUUGUGCAAAUAUACAAGAAUGCUAAAAAUGAUUCUCAAUAAAACAAGCCUAACACAUUUUAUUUCCUAUGUCUGAACCCAUAUAUAUGAAGUUCUAAAACAGCUAAUUUGUACUAUAUAAACAAAAUCAGAAAAGUGGUUGCCUCUAGACUUGAGAGAUGAGAACAUACUGUGAAGUACCAUGGGGGAAUUUUCUGUGGGCAUUACGGACACUCUGUAACUUGACAGGAAUAUGUUACACUAACACUAGUAUCUACAUUUAUUAAAACCCAUAGAAUAGUAUGCUUAAUAUUUAUGCUUGUCACUGUAUAUAAAUUGUACCCAAAAUGUAAAUAUUAAACACUUGAUAAGCAUUCUCACAAGUUACAUGUGAAAUAUGCUGCUAUCUGAAACUUACUAUGACAUAUAGAAAAAUAAGACAAACUAAUGGAUGCAUAGAGAGAUGGGGGUUGGAUGGAUAUAUAUGUAAUAAAGCAGGUCUAGCAAAAUAUUAAUAAUGGAACCUAUGUAGUACCUAUAUGGGUGCUCAUUGUCCAGUUGCUUCCUCUUUUCCAUAUGUUUAAACAUGAUUACCAUAAAAUGUUGGGGAAAUGUACUUGAAUAAUUUGGUUUGACCUCUUGUGAUUCUGCCACCGCUAUGAGGAGAGCAUGUCCAGGUUCACCUGCUGGUCUAAGGAAGAAGAGGGACAUCUGGAGCAGAUCUGAUCCCAAACAGUAGUGUGGAGGCCAGCCUGGCCAAUCCUUGAUAGAGUGGCCAAUCCCCAUAUGCACUGCAGAUGGGGAACUGGGAAUAAAAGAUUAUUGUUUUAGUCUUUGAAUUUAAGGAUGAUUUGUUACAUAGCAUUAUCAUGGCAAGAACUGAAUCACUAAGGUAAUUAUUUUCCCACAUUAUCACUCUGUAGAGAUAUAUAAAAGAAAUGCUUAUAUUUAAAAAAUGCUUCGCUAUGUCUCAUGCAGAACAAAUUAAAAUUAUAAUCCAUGCCUUAUAGAGAGCCUUAACUAUUGAAAACAUAUAAGAAGUGCAUGGGCAAAUAAGUAGCCGGUAUGAAGAUAAUGACAUAACAUUAAAUAUAUUCCUAGGUGAUAGGAUGGUCAAGGCACUUGCUUUACAAUUGGACAAACAGAGGAAGUCAGC
rnacentral:lncRNA from 10 species